GCCUAGCCAAAACGCAUUUCGAAAAAAGAUAUCGCUAACGAAUCGAUAAAAAAUGUAUGGGAAUGACAGGUACCGUAGAUGAGUUUGUCGAAAAAUAUUAACGAAUACAAAAAUGUUAGCCAAGUUGCAAUGUUGUAACGAAACGCAAAACUUUCGUUACUGGAAUUCGAUAUCUGUCAUACAUUGCCUAGCCGAGUGACACUUUUGACAUGCGAAAUCGAAUCGUUAUCGCCUCCUAGGUGUCGAUACGUAGCGAGAGCUAUCCCCUUGCAGAUAACUUAUCGAAGCACAAGAAAAUGCCGUAUAAUAGUGUUUGUAAAUUAGAAUUUGUAGUAAAAAGCAUACUUUAACAUUAUUGUGGGCGGCGAACAACGCGGAAGUCUCGCUUAGACGCAGGCGCCGUCUGAAAAAUCGCCUAUUGGAACUGCUUAGGAAAGGACUGCCCUUAGCUGGUGGCUGGUGGCUUUAUGCUACGGGGUCAGAUCAAAGGAUAGUGGGCCGUACGCAGCAUUUCACCCAAAGGAUCCAAUGUGACCGAGGCGCUGAAUAUCUACCUAUCUAUAUUGACAGUGUCAUGGAAAAAUGGAUUAUGCACCCACAAAUGCAACACGAAACAACGUCCCUGCAAAGGUGACUUGGAUAUUCAUUGCAGCCUUGACAUAUUUAUGGUGCUCCAAAGCCAGGGUCAAGGGAAGAAACUAUGACACAUGUACAACCACAAAAAUAUAUUGAGUGUUGUUUUACUAUUUUAAAACACUACAUAAUAUAUGUGCAAACAAGAAAAGAAUGCUUGGCUACUGAUUUUAUGCUGCCGGCAAAAAAUACCUGCUGUAUCUUUCAUUAAUAGAUUUCCAAUAAAAUAAAUUAACUUUUAACCCAAUCAUUGUUUCAUUCAUUUAUUUAUGGUGGUUACCACCUUAACCUUUGGUAUGCUUAGGAGCAGAUCUGCUCCCAUGUACUUACCUAUAUUCAACUUUAAAAAAUGCAUUAAUUUUGACGACCGGUCUGACCUAGUGGGUAGUGACCCUGCCUGCUAAGCCGAUGGUCCUAGGUUCGAAUCCCAGUAAGGGCAUUUAUUUGUGUGGUGAACACUAAUAUUUGUUCCUGAGUCAUGGGUGUUUUCUAUGUAUAUAAGUAUGUAUUUAUCUAUAUAAGUAUGUAACAUUCUUACACAGAUUCACUAAGUCCCACAGUAAGCUCAAGAAGGCUUGUGUUGUGGGUACUCAGACAACGAUAUAUAUAAUAUACAAAUACUUAAAUACAUAGAAAACACCCAUGACUCAGAAACAAAUAUCUGUAUCAUCAUACAAAUAAAUGCCCUUACUGGGAUUCGAACCCAGGACCAUCGGCUUCGCAGGCAGGGUCACUAC